rnacentral:lncRNA from 1 species
AUGACAACUGUAUGUUUGUUCUUUUGUUCUGUAACUAAACUCAGCUCUUCAGUCCUCUCACCCCUGCAGAAGUCCUCUCUGUCAUUAUUAUCUUCAGAUAGUGAAAACCAACAACGUAACUCCACUGGAAGAAGGCAUCCUGGCUGCUUGGCUGCAAAGCUGCUGUACAACCACGAUGCAAACCGAGCAUAUUCAGAGGGAGCCUCAGGCGUGGGAAGGGGAGCAGGUUUAUGUACCUGCAGAUAUUUUCUUUGCCUUAAGCUCACAGUGAAGCUGCAGUGGAAAAAGCAGAUGCUGGUUUUCCUCCCCAGCCUAAGAUGCUUCUCUGAACCUGAGCUAGAAGCACUCUGUCUAUUUGCUUGUGGUAUUUCCAGACCUGCUGAAGGCCUAGAAAGCGCAGCCGCUGAAACACACACACAAUUGCUUAUUCAGGCAGAGUUUGGUGUACUGGGAGACAAGUUGUUGGAAUAAACACAGCUGUGAUUUUUCCAUUACACUGAGUUCUCAUUUACUGGGUCAGUCAGCCACAUAGCUUGUCUGUGCAAAGGGGGUAAAUACGUGUCCUUGGGGAAUCACCAGGACUAUAGGACCUACUCUUGCAUGUCAUCUUGGGUAGGGUUCUCCAGUGUUUAAAUCAAAUAAAGCUGUGGUUAUAACUAUUACA